GCGGUGACGUCACGGGCGCGCAGCACGUGGCUGCUCGUGGCUGCUCCGCAGCGCGGGAGCCCCUCGGGGUUCUCGGGCGCGGGAGACGGUGCCCAGGCCGGCGAACCACCCACGACGUACCAGGGGCGCGGCCCGGCGUGUGCGAAGUCCCGGGGGCAGAAGGGAGCGAGAAGGUCAGGAGAUUUGGACACACAGACCCAGAGGUGUGGAGGCCGGGUGAAGGUGCAGGUAGAGAUCGGAAUCACGCAGCCCCAGAGCCAGAAGUUGGAAGGAAGGCGUGUACCCCAGAGCCUCCAGAGGGAGCGCAGUCCUGCUGCCACCUUGAUUUUGAACUUCUGGCCUGCAGAAAGCUGGGCUCGCUCAGGAGUGUCGCUGUUUUGCAAGGCUGAAGUCUGAGUCCCUCAGAGGUCCAGGGGAAAGGAUUCAGGCUUUGAAAGCUACUGAUUCAGGGGCAGCCUCAGACUGGCUGUGCGGCUUUGGGUGAGUCCCUGGACUUCCUCUGAAACCUGGUUCUUGAGGGUAGAGGUAGGGCAUGGUUACGCCUGGAUAGGUUUUUGUUUUCUGGUUUGAGCUUUUUUUCUUUUUUUUCCCCCUGUUUAAAAAUAAAGGUGAAAUUUAUAUCAUCUAAAAUCAGCCAUUUCAAAACGUACGAUUCAGGGGCACCUGGGUUGGCUGAGUUGGUUGAGCAGCCAACUCCUGAUUUCGGCUCAGGUCAUGA